UACGAAGGGGGCUAGCGUUGCUCGGAAUCACUGGGCGUAAAGGGUGCGUAGGCGGGUUUUUAAGUCAGAGGUGAAAUCCUGGAGCUCAACUCCAGAACUGCCUUUGAUACCGAGAAUCUUGAGUAUGGGAGAGGUGAGUGGAACUGCGAGUGUAGAGGUGAAAUUCGUAGAUAUUCGCAAGAACACCAGUGGCGAAGGCGGCUCACUGGCCCAUAACUGACGCUGAGGCACGAAAGCGUGGGGAGCAAACAGG
rnacentral:rRNA from 1 species